rnacentral:rRNA from 1 species
UACGUAGGGUGCGAGCGUUGUCCGGAAUUACUGGGCGUAAAGAGCUCGUAGGUGGUUUGUCGCGUUGUUCGUGAAAGCCUGAGGCUUAACCUUGGGCGUGCGGGCGAUACGGGCAGACUGGAGUACUGCAGGGGAGACUGGAAUUCCUGGUGUAGCGGUGGAAUGCGCAGAUAUCAGGAGGAACGCCGGUGGCGAAGGCGGGUCUCUGGGCAACAACUGACGCUGAGGAGCGAAAGCGUGGGGAGCGAACAGG